AAGUGAUGCAACACCAAUAGAAAUAUUGAAUAGAGAAUGAGAAAACCAAUUAACAGGAAGAAGAAAUUAGGGAAAGGGAUGACAGAAGGGGGAAGCAGUAAGAAGGAAAAGAAUAAUGGAAAGGAGAGGAGAAAUUCGCCACAAGCCACCAAUAAUUUUAUUCUAUCAUCAACUAAUAAAAUUACAUGACAAAUUAAGUUUAAAUAGUCAAAACAAAACCCUACCUAGAAUGGGUUUGGACCAAUACAAGUCCAAUUACAUAAAUAAAAAUCUCAAAACAUAAAUAAAGUCCAACUAAAAAUAAAUAUAAAGUAGAUGUCCUCGUCAACUCUCCCGGGGUGGGAAAAAAACUCGAUCCUGUCAAGUAGAUAGAUCACAAAAGCUGCAGUUAAGCUAAUAUUCCAAAUGCUUCAAGUCAUGUCACGGUGGACGAUCUUUCUGAUGAGCCAAGUAUCGAAACUCCAUGAUUGACAGUAAUGAAAACUGUAACUGAUUCCCAAGAAUAUGAUCUGACAAAGGGGGACGGUCUUUCCUGCUGACCAAAUAUUGAUAUUGAACUCUAAAUAACCAAUACUCAUGCACCUCAUUUCCAAAAUUUUCACAUGAUUGUACAUAAUGAAGAGUACAAGAAGCACGCCGAUCUACCCAACAAACAAGGGAGUACCAAUUCUCUCCAUCAAAUGUUAACACAACAUGUUUAUCUAAAAUAGCAUCAAUUUUAUCUUCGUGUGCUAUGAUGAGUGUUAUUGGAGUAGAAAUGGUAGCCACAUGUGAAAGUAGAAAAGGAUCUUCUAAACAAUUAAAACGACCUUUGUAAGUAACUAAGUCCUCAACAGCUAAAAUAGAGUGGUGGCCAAAAUGUGAUAAAAGAUCAAUGACACAUAUAUUUAUACCAACAUGCUUUAAAACUUUAUAAGGGCCAGCACUACGGGCUUGUAGUAUAACAUAAUCCCCAAUAUUAAAUUCAAAAUAUUGUUUAUGCUAAUUAGCUCGAAGUUUAUAUAAUGCAUUAUUUGCAUCAAGUUGUUUAUUAAUCUCAGUAUGCAAGUCAUGAAGAUGCUAUACAAAUGCUCCAGUUGACAACGACACACUAACAUGUGGGGACACGGGAAUAAGAUGUGACGGUCACCUAGACUUAUAACUAUGAACAACUUCAAAUUGAUUUAGACCUAGAGACCGAUUUACAGAAUUAUUAUAUGCAAUUUGAAUAGUUGGGAGGAUCAAUGCCCAAUUCCCAAGAUUUUUUUGGACUAGAGACUUGAUAAAAUUACUAGGACUUUCGUUAACGACUUCAUUUUGACCAUCAGUCUGAGGUUGGUCUGCAGUGAAGAAUUUCGAUUUAGUGUUAAAAAUGGGCGACUGAGUUUUCCACAAGUGACUAGUGAAAUCGUGGGAUAUAAUGCCUAGAGUCUGAGAAAGAGUCUGGAUGCCAUCUAAGGAGGUGUCCUCACCAUCAUCAUCAAAAUCUUCAAGUUUAGAUUCAUAUACUAGAUCUUCUAACGACUCUUCUAUUACAUUCAUUCGUUCUUCUAUAACUAAGGUUCAAUUAGGACAUUUGGAAGAGAUGUGGCUAAAGUUCUUACAGCUGAUGCCUAGCAAGUGCUAAGAAAUUCUUGGAGUUUUAAAAAUUUUACCUUUAUUUUCCAAGAUUGGAGGAACAUUAGACGGGGGAAGUCCUAGAAGGAACUUAAUAGGAGGAAGUGGAGCCAAUGAAACAAAAGAAUGGUUGUCAAUACACCUUCUAUAUGAAGAAGGGGGCCUUGGACUAUCACGACAUUUACACUUAUUUUUUCAAAUGGGAGAAACACUGGAUGGAGAAGGUUCUAUGACAGACUCAUGUUGAGGUGGUACUAAUGAGAUGGGUGAACGAUGAUGACUACGCUUUUCAUAUGGAGCACUAAUAAGUAACUCGUAAUCUCAAGCUAAAGAGUAAGCAUGAUCAAGAAUAGUGACACCUCAAAAGAAAAGCUCAUGCCUAAAUUCAUUUCUUAGACCUUGUAUAAACAUAUUCAAAGUCGGGGCCUCAUCCUCAACAACAUGACAAUAUUUUUGGUCACCUUGUUGACGACGACAUCGUCUAUUGUGAGACACUUCAGAAUUAUUAACAUCAAUCGAACGAGGGAUUUGCUUAAAGUUGUUCAGCCUAGCAGAGAGGGCUUACUCUGUUCAAGAAUAGCAAUCAUCUGGGUUUGGAUAGCUGCUAUUUGUCGAGUGAGUUCACCAAAUUGUGAAGGGUCCAUGUUUAGGUACUAAAUGACAAGACGACUAGUCGACCACCAGCCAUGCACUGUAUUAACAGCUAAAUGACGUGUAAUAGUGAGAUCAAUGAACAAUAAAUGCAAGCAAUGAAAAAUAACAUUUUGAGCAUUUUUAUUUUUUUAAAUCUCUUUUUAUUUUUUAUUAUUUUUUUUAUGGGGAUUAAGCAAAUUCAAAUGUUGCAAGCUAAUACUAUUGAUACAUGUAAAAUAGCAAAGCAAGGGGCCAAACACUAGUCAAAUUAUCCAAUCAAGUUGAUAAGUGGGGAACAAUGGAAAGUCAACUCGUUCAAUUAUUUUGACCAAAUGGGAUAUUAGGCUAAUGAAAUCAAAGUAACAACACCACAAAGAUUUAAAUGAUGCAAUUUUAAAAUGAAGCAAUAGUAUAAACCAACAAUAAAUAGAGAUCAAGGACUCCCUGUUGUCGGGUUGUGGAGGCGGUGCCCAAGAAAGCUUGAUGUUGUUGGUGAUGUAUUCACAGGAUCUCAGUCCAACCGAUGGUGGUGCAAUCUAUAUUCCUAUUCUAAUUCACAUAUAGGAGGCUUCAGUAAAUAGUUCGGUCACUGGCUUUGCGACUCGUCCUGUUUCCAAAAUAUCAGUCUCUGUGGUCGAUUGCAAUUUCAAUACACAGCCAAUACAAUAUAUUUGGGGACAUACUGCAAAGUUGGUCUAUGUGCAAUCUAUAUUCCCGUUCUAAUUCACAUAUAGGAGGCUUCAGUAAACAGUUCGGUCAUUGGCUUUGCGACUCGUCCUGUUUCCAAAAUAUCAGUCUCUGUGGUCGAUUGCAAUUUCAAUACACAGCCAAUACAGUAUAUUUGGGGACAUACUGCAAAGUUGGUCUAUGUGCCUGCAGGUUGAUGUAUUGAAGUAUGUGGGUUGCACGUUUUGUGAAAUAUGUAAUGGAGUGGUGCCGAUUGUGUGAGAUGCCGACAAAUUGAGGGUUUCCGGUGGUAAAUCACGGCAGGUAUUGAGCAGUGGUGGCGACGCGACUUGCAAGUCGGGCGACGGUGACAGCGGGUUCUGAUGUGAUGGUGGAGGUGACUGGCAUGGCAGUGGGAUGAUCGACGGGGAAGAUGGAGCAGUCGCGGGGAGAGAUUGUGUUUACCGGCUGUCGUACAGGUGGCGACGGUGAUAGGUAUAGUAGAGGAGUCAGCAAAGAUAAAGACGAGUAGCUUGGGCUGCAAUGGAUAGGUUAGUACUUGGGUGUCGGGGAUUUGAGGGUUGCCGACGCUGGCGGUGGGGCGAUGGUGUCGCCGGCGGUAGUCGUGGAUAGAUGGGUCGCCUACGUAGAGGACCAUAUUCUGGAAGCCCUGUGGAAGUUGGGUGUGGACUUGAUCGAGGUGGGUGCUAUUUAUGUGUUAAAUGGUUUGAGAUAUAUGGGCUGAACAUGGGAUGUGUGCUGAAUGUGGAUAACGGGCUACUGGACUUGGCUAUAGGUGAUAAGAGGAUUGAAAGUAGGCUGUGUUUGUGGAAAAUGGCUUUUGGGUGUUGUCUUGAUCGAGGUGGAAGUUGGGCGUGGGCUUGAUCGAGGUGGGUGCUAUUUAUGUGUUAAAUGGUUUGAGAUAUAUGCGCUAAACAUGGGAUGUGUGCUGAAUGUGGAUAACAGGCUACUCGACUUGGCUAUAGGUGAUUAGAGGAUUGAAAGUAGGCUGUGUUUGUGGAAAAUGGCUUUUGGACGGCUAUAUAGAAGUUUGGGCUGGCAAUACUUGGUCCGUGAGGGUUUGGAAGGUAAAUAAGUUAAAGGACAACAAAAUUAGGUUAAAAUGACCAGCACACUAAUUCUGGGGUGGCAGCAGAUUAUUCUUUUUUAUUUUUUUUUAACUAAGAAAGAAAUUUGAACAAGAAAACUGCUGUUGUGAAACAAAUUCCUUUGUUUGUGCUGUUCUACAAAUUUUUGGAA
rnacentral:lncRNA from 1 species